rnacentral:rRNA from 1 species
GACGAACGCUGGCGGCGUGCCUAAUACAUGCAAGUCGAGCGAAUCUUUGGGAGCUUGCUCCCAAAGAUUAGCGGCGGACGGGUGAGUAACACGUGGGCAACCUGCCUAUAAGACUGGGAUAACUUCGGGAAACCGGAGCUAAUACCGGAUAAUUCAUAUCUACUCAUGUAGAUAUGCUGAAAGACGGUUUCGGCUGUCACUUAUAGAUGGGCCCGCGGCGCAUUAGCUAGUUGGUGAGGUAAUGGCUCACCAAGGCAACGAUGCGUAGCCGACCGGAGAGGGUGAUCGGCCACACUGGGACUGAGACACGGCCCAGACUCCUACGGGAGGCAGCAGUAGGGAAUCUUCCGCAAUGGACGAAAGUCUGACGGAGCAACGCCGCGUGAGAGAUGAAGGUUUUCGGAUCGUAAAACUCUGUUGUUAGGGAAGAAUAAGUACCAGAGUAACUGCUGGUACCUUGACGGUACCUAACCAGAAAGCCACGGCUAACUACGUGCCAGCAGCCGCCGUAA